AUCCAAUGAUGAGACCAAGGCGAAUAUUAGCUCACUGACUGGGAGCGGGGUUCUUCUUUGCCUUGACUGGCAGGUAAUCUUGGCAGUGCAGAGGAGGAUUUUUGCUCUGCUGUAAGGGCCUGCCUACAGUGAACUGGCUUGACCCAAAUUAUUCCUCAACAGUCAUUUUGGACUAAUUGCUGGGAUGAUGCCGACAGUGUGCACACAGGUUUAAAAAGGCAAGAAGUUAACCCUGCUCCCUUUACUGUUCAGUUAGCUGUGAUUUCUGUCUUUGGUAAUCUGAGGGUA